UAAGGAUGCUGGGAAGACGGA
rnacentral:misc_RNA from 1 species